rnacentral:rRNA from 1 species
UACGGAGGGGGCGAGCGUUAUUCGGAAUUAUUGGGCGUAAAGGGCGCGUAGGCGGCUCUUUAAGUCAAAGGUGAAAUCCCUCGGCUCAACUGAGGAACUGCCUUUGAAACUGAGGAGCUUGAGUCCGGGAGGGGGUAGCGGAAUUCCCAGUGUAGCGGUGAAAUGCGUAGAUAUUGGGAGGAACACCAGUGGCGAAGGCGGAUCUCUGGGCCUUACCUGACGCUGAGGCGCGAAAGCUAGGGGAGCGAACAGG